rnacentral:rRNA from 1 species
GGGGGCUCGAGCGUUAGUCGGAAUCACUGGGCUUAAAGGGUGCGUAGGUGGCUCGCCAAGUGUUUUGUGAAAUCCCACAGCUCAACUGUGGAACAGCAGGGCAAACUGGCGAGCUUGAGGCAGGUAGGGGCCGGAAGAACAGUUGGUGGAGCGGUGAAAUGCGUAGAUAUCAACUGGAAUGCCGAUGGGGAAGCCGUCCGGCUGGGCCUGUCCUGACACUGAGGCACGAAAGCGUGGGGAGCAAACAGGAUUAGAUACCCUGGUAGUCCACGCCGUAAACGAUGUACACUAGACUGGUGCGGUUUUGACGCCGUAUCAGUCGCAGUAAAAACGAUAAGUGUACCGCCUGGGGAGUACGGUCGCAAGGCUA